UUAAUUAAUAACUUUACUUAAUUUACAUAUAACUAAUCCUUAUUUUAUUUUGUUAUAUUCUAUUUCUUUAACUUAAUACAUUCUUAACAGUCGACUUAUGGAACUCUUCCACAACCUAUUUGACGUAGACAACUCGGUAUCACACAGACUUUAGUGACGUAUGUUUGCAUAGGUUUUGGUUCCUUUUGUUGCCUUCGUAGUAUUCCAAGGACUCACAUUCACAGUGUGCAUUUUCAUUUCAGGAACAUUAAAGUAAUCCAGCAAUCAAGGCGACCUGGCUGUGUUUCUGCUUUCAAUUCAAGAAUCAUGAGGCCAUUCUCUAACCACAACCUGUCAGCCUGUUCGAGAAUUGGUAUAGUAGAAUUCAAAAUCAGAAUACAAAAACAUUGGAAACAUGGCUCAGAAGCUGGAAAUGUAAUGUUUACUUCUUUAAAUUGAUGUAAAAAACUAAAUUUAUGUAAACAAUAGUCUAAUUUCCAUCUGUGCACCUUCUGUUGUCUAAUGCCCAAGCAAACAAGUCUUAGUCACCGCCUCCACUUUUAAAUAUAAAUGUAUUUUUCUUUAUUCUUUCCUGUUUUCGAAGAGAAAAUAAAAGAAAAAGAAAUUUCCUGAGUAGAAAGACCUGUUUUUAGUCAAAUUAUAGGUAUAUUUAAUUAUAUGUAAAUAUGUAUGUACACACAAAAUUGCUUAGUUUAGCAACCUUACCAUCGCUAAAUCCUCCCCCUUUCAAUUGACUUGGUUAUUUUGCGCUCUAGUGUCUCUCGUCUGCUCCUCGUCUCGUCUUCCGUGCUGCCCUUUAGUGUUUGACAAAUACACAAUGGUCCGAACAGUA